UACGUAGGGGGCUAGCGUUGUCCGGAUUUAUUGGGCGUAAAGAGCGUGUAGGCGGCCAGGUAGGUCCGCUGUGAAAACUCGGGGCUUAACCCCGAGCCUGCAGUGGAUACGGGCAGACUAGAGGUAGGUAGGGGAGAAUGGAAUUCCCGGUGUAGCGGUGAAAUGCGCAGAUAUCGGGAGGAACACCGGUGGCGAAGGCGGUUCUCUGGGCCUUACCUGACGCUGAGGAGCGAAAGCGUGGGGAGCGAACAGG
rnacentral:rRNA from 1 species